rnacentral:rRNA from 1 species
AUGAAAUGUACUGAGAUUAUCCCUUUCCUUGAACAGGUAAGGAAAGUUGACAUGCUUGACGGUGUGACAAUCCCGCGGUCCGAGAAAGUAAAGGAUGAGAUCAUCCUCGAUGGCAAUGACAUUGAGCUCGUCUAUCGCUCUGCUGCCCUUAUCAACCAGGUACUGGCGGAGGCCGGGAGCGCCAAGGCGGUGGCGUUCGAUGAGAUCGACCUUAGUGCUUGCUGCUGA